CAGCGACGCCGCGUGAGGGAUGACGGCCUUCGGGUCGUAAACCUCUUUCAGUAGGGAAGAAGCGAAAGUGACGGUACCUGCAGAAGAAGCACCGGCUAACUACGUGCCAGCAGCCGCGGUAAUACGUAGGGUGCGAGCGUUAUCCGGAAUUAUUGGGCGUAAAGAGCUCGUAGGCGGUUUGUCGCGUCUGUCGUGAAAGUCCGGGGCUUAACCCGCGGAUCUGCGGUGGGUACGGGCAGACUAGAGUGCAGUACGGGAGACUGAUCGAUCUGGUGUAGCGGUGGAAUGCGCAGAUAUCAGGAGGAACACCGAUGGCGAAGGCAGGUCUCUGGGCUGUAACUGACGCUGAGGAGCGAAAGCAUGGGGAGCGAACAGGAUUAGAUACCCUGGUAGUCCAUGCCGUAAACGUUGGGCACUAGGUGUGGGGACCAUUCCACGGUUUCCGCGCCGCAGCUAACGCAUUAAGUGCCCCGCCUGGGGAGUACGGCCGCAAGGCUAAAGCUCAAAGGAAUUGACGGGGGCCCGCACAAG
rnacentral:rRNA from 1 species